rnacentral:lncRNA from 1 species
UAAGGAUGGUGGUACUGCAUGUAAAAUAAUUUGUUUCAGUAUCAGAAUCUUAACAUUUCCAUUUUCAAUGUCUAAUCACAGAUCUUCAACCACAAAAGCCACCAGAAUUCACAAAGCCACACCCCUGCCCAGGAAAAGCAAAGCUAAUGUCAAUAGGUGGACAGGAAUGGAUGACCAAUGGUCUCAAAUGCCAUAGAGGAAUCUCCAAAAAUGAACUGUUCAAAAAUAGGAAGAAGCUGGGUGAACGAAGCCUGAACAAAUUACAUUACAUCGAUGGAUUUCACAUGGAAAACAGCGAGAAAAAUGUGCAGCCACAAGGGUGUCUCUUUUGGUGGAAGUACCUGCCCCUGUUUGGUGGUAAUUUCAUUUGAGUGUAUUCUCAAAAUCACAAGGGGAUGUAUUAAAACAGAAGAACAGAUGAGAACAAAGCUGGUAAGCUGGUUUCUUUCCCAGAGUUUUCCUCUCAUUUCUGAAGCUGGGAUGCUAAGCUCAUGUGCAUGUAUGUUCCAGAUUUGGUACAUACACAGAGUCUCAUUGCUUUCAGAAGACUGCUUUGGCAACUUCCGAAACAUUAAUCGAGUACUAGAAUAGCCCAGUAGUUACCUACAGUGAGUGCAUUACUGAGAAAGGCAAGCCAAUUGCCAGCCUGCCUAUUUGUUUCUGUGAGAAUUUCAUAACCUGAUUUUUCUCUGAUACCUCUUGUUAAACACAUAGGUUUACUAAUAAUUCAUGGACCUAAGAAUCUGGGCUUUUUUCAAUUAAAUAUAACUUAUUUACAAGCGAAUGGAAAAAGGAGACUGCAAACACCUUUUUUUUUUUUUUUUUUUUUCUCCUCAUUCUUUCACAGGUGUUGGCCAUACUCAGUUAUUUCCCCUCUGAACUUACAUUUUGUGUUUGGAUGUUGUGUUUAAUACUUUUAUUCCUGAACACAAACAAAAUCAUGACCAAUGCAAACUAGAGCAUUCGGAGUUCUUCCUGCAGCUACAGCACUGGUGAAAUUAUUUAAAACCACCAUUUCUCUUUCUCAAAGAUAUAUUAAAAGAUAUUUUUAAUUUCUGAAGUAUUCAGACAAAAGUCAAAACAGCUUUAUUUCUGCUGAACAGCUCAGAGUGCAAGACAGGGAUGUUGUCACUCUUCAGUGAUGUAUGCUUCUGUUUUUCCAAGCUUCACCCCAAGUAUCUCAGGUACUGAAAUCAUGAAGCAUUUUACAAAGAGAACAAUUUUCCUCAUUUUAUUGACAUUGUAUUGGUGUUAUCUUCCUUUCAACACCAGCAAUCUUUUUCCUUUUUUUUUUUUUUAUAUAUAUAUAUUUUUAUUUUUUUUAUUUUUUUUUUCCUUUCAAUACCAGGUAUGUACAAAGAGGAGCUGAGAAGCUGUGUGGAGCAAUAAACGUGCAAUAUAGGACCA